UACAGAGGAUGCAAGCGUUAUCCGGAAUGAUUGGGCGUAAAGCGCGCGCAGGCGGUCUUCCAAGUCAGUGGUGAAAGCCCGGAGCUCAACUCCGGAACUGCCAUUGAAACUGUGAGACUUGAGGAUGAGAGAGGUGAGUGGAAUUCCCAGUGUAGAGGUGAAAUUCGUAGAUAUUGGGAAGAACACCGGUGGCGAAGGCGGCGACCUGGUCCGAUACUGACGCUGAGGCGCGAAAGCGUGGGGAGCAAACAGG
rnacentral:rRNA from 1 species